rnacentral:rRNA from 1 species
CAGCCGCCACGGUAAUACGAAGGGUGCAAGCGCUACUCGGAAUUACUGGGCGUAAAGCGUGUGUAGGUGGUUGUUUAAGUCUGUCGCGAAAGCCCUGGGCUCAACCUGGGAAUUGCGAUGGAUACUGGGCGACUAGAGUGCGGUAGAGGAUAGUGGAAUUUCCGGUGUAGCAGUGAAAUGCGUAGAGAUCGGAAGGAACAUCUGUGGCGAAGGCGACUAUCUGGGCCAACACUGACACUGAGACACGAAAGCGUGGGGAGCAAACAGGAUUAGAUACCCCUGUAGUCCCUGUCUCUUAUAC